CGUAACGCGUGGGUAACCUGCCUCAUACAGGGGGAUAACGAUUGGAAACGAUUGCUAAUACCGCAUAAGCGCACAGUACCACAUGGUGCAGUGUGAAAAACUCCGGUGGUAUGAGAUGGACCCGCGUCUGAUUAGCUAGUUGGUGAGGUAACGGCCCACCAAGGCAACGAUCAGUAGCCGACCUGAGAGGGUGACCGGCCACAUUGGGACUGAGACACGGCCCAG
rnacentral:rRNA from 1 species